rnacentral:lncRNA from 15 species
GCCAACAUAAACAGCCCUAAUCCUUUUUCCAAGGAGCUUUCAACACUCAUCUCUCUGGCACAUCGGCCACUGACUCACUCUCUCUCUCUCUCUCUCUCUCUCUCUCUCUGACAUUCCUGUCCGUCUGCAGUUCUGUAGAGUCGGCACCAGGAGGCACUGUGGCCCUUAAGUGUAAAUGCAGUUGGGUUUAUGCUGUUGAUCAUUAUUCACUGCUAAGGCUCUGGAGCUGUGGGAGAGUACCCACUCAGAGGAGAGGAGCACGAACACAUUGAUCUUAUUUGGACAGGCUUUUGUCUGGGACAUAUCCAAACCCAAACAGCCAGGGGAAGUACCACAACAGGGUGUAAGUAAUUCUCUUGCAAUCCAGACACACUCUACAUAGGUUACAGACAGAGCAGAGCCACUUGUAUCAUUCAAAACAGUGCUAUUUCUUGAUUUGGCGUGUAAUGAUUUAUUUAAGUCAUACGCUCUCCCAUGUUUUUCUCACCUGUCCUCCCUGGUUA